rnacentral:rRNA from 1 species
AUUGAACGCUGGCGGCAGGCCUAACACAUGCAAGUCGAGCGGAUGAAGGGAGCUUGCUCCUGGAUUCAGCGGCGGACGGGUGAGUAAUGCCUAGGAAUCUGCCUGGUAGUGGGGGAUAACGUCCGGAAACGGGCGCUAAUACCGCAUACGUCCUGAGGGAGAAAGUGGGGCAUCUUCGGACCUCACGCUAUCAGAUGAGCCUAGGUCGGAUUAGCUAGUUGGUGGGGUAAAGGCCUACCAAGGCGACGAUCCGUAACUGGUCUGAGAGGAUGAUCAGUCACACUGGAACUGAGACACGGUCCAGACUCCUACGGGAGGCAGCAGUGGGGAAUAUUGGACAAUGGGCGAAAGCCUGAUCCAGCCAUGCCGCGUGUGUGAAGAAGGUCUUCGGAUUGUAAAGCACUUUAAGUUGGGAGGAAGGGCAGUAAGUUAAUACCUUGCUGUUUUGACGUUACCAACAGAAUAAGCACCGGCUAACUUCGUG